rnacentral:tRNA from 1 species
GGGUCGUUAGCUCAGUUGGUAGAGCAGUUGACUUUUUAAUCAAUUGAUUACUUGAGUUUCGAAUCCUGCACGACCCACCA